UACAGAGGUCCCAAGCGUUGUUCGGAUUCACUGGGCGUAAAGGGUGCGUAGGUGGCAAGGUAAGUUUGAUGUGAAAUCUCCGGGCUUAACCCGGAAACUGCAUUGAAUACUAUCUUGCUUGAGGGUUGGAGGGGGGACUGGAAUUCAUGGUGUAGCAGUGAAAUGCGUAGAGAUCAUGAGGAAGACCAGUGGCGAAGGCGGGUCUCUGGACAGUUCCUGACACUGAGACACGAAGGCCAGGGGAGCAAACGGG
rnacentral:rRNA from 1 species